rnacentral:rRNA from 1 species
GACGAACGCUGGCGGCGUGCUUAACACAUGCAAGUCGAACGGGUCUGCCCUGUUUUUUGCGGGGUGGGUCAGUGGCGAACGGGUGAGUAACACGUGAGUAACCUGCCCCUCACUUCUGGAUAACCGCUUGAAAGGGUGGCUAAUACGGGGUGUUCUGGCUGUGCCGCAUGGUGUGGCUGGGAAAGAUUCACUUUUGUGGUGUUUUGGUGGGGGAUGGGCUCGCGGCCUAUCAGCUUGUUGGUGGGGUGAUGGCCUGCCAAGGCUGUGACGGGUAGCCGGCCGGGGGGGGGGGGCGGCCACAGUGGGACGGAGGGACGGCUGAGACUUGUACGGGAGGCAGCAGUGGGGUAGGUGUCGCCAUGGGCGCGAGUCGGAUGCAGCGGCGCUGCGUGCGGGAGGACGGUCUUGGGGGGGUAAAACACGGUCGCCUGGAACGUAGCGUGAGUGACGGUAAUGGGUAAAGAAGCACCGGCUAACUACGUG